rnacentral:lncRNA from 1 species
UGUGUGUGUGUGUGUGUACAGUAGAGCACAGCUAUAGAGUGCAAACACUGCGCUGGACUGUAGGUGGCGUCGGCGUGUGCGUCUGUAAGGCAGAGUCCAGCACUGAUGAUGAUGAUGAUGAUGAAGCUGAUCCUGCAGUGGCGGAGGGCGCUGGCGUGAUCAAUAAUUCAUCAUGCUGGGUGUGUGUGUGACUGUGAGGUAUCAGAGCUGGACAGCGCAGGGGUCAGGGCAGCUCCAACAUUUCUCUGAUGAUCUCUGUUUUUGGUGGAGGAUUUCAGGAUCUCUUGAUUACUCAGAGAAUAGAGAGUAAUGUGGUGAAGCUCCAGCGUGCGCUCGCAGUAGACUGAUCUCAGUGUGCAGUCUGUGGUUUUACGAGACUUCGUAUACGCAGCGCAGCUGAGAGCUGAGCAUCCCACAUCCACACUCCAGCUACAGCAUCAGUCCAGCACGUGUGUGAGUGAGAGUGGAGUCUCUGAUGGACACAUGACUGCAGCGGCGCCGCUAUAUACACUGGAUAUACUACACUAAUGUUUCCUUGCUCUCUGUGUGUUGGCAGUGUGCAUGACUGAUGUGUGCUG